GACGAACGCUGGCGGCGUGCUUAACACAUGCAAGUCGAACGGAAAGGCCCUGCUUGCAGGGUACUCGAGUGGCGAACGGGUGAGUAACACGUGGGUGAUCUGCCCUGCACUUCGGGAUAAGCCUGGGAAACUGGGUCUAAUACCGGAUGGGAGCCAUUUUUAGUGUGAUGGUUGGAAAGUUUUUUCGGUGUAGGAUGAGCUCGCGGCCUAUCAGCUUGUUGGUGGGGUAAUGGCCUACCAAGGCGGCGACGGGUAGCCGGCCUGAGAGGGUGGACGGCCACAUUGGGACUGAGAUACGGCCCAGACUCCUACGGGAGGCAGCAGUGGGGAAUAUUGCACAAUGGGCGCAAGCCUGAUGCAGCGACGCCGCGUGGGGGAUGACGGCCUUCGGGUUGUAAACUCCUUUCGCUAGGGACGAAGCUUUUUGUGACGGUACCUAGAUAAGAAGCACCGGCUAACUACGUG
rnacentral:rRNA from 1 species